ACUCAAAUGAAUAGACGGGGGCCCGCACAAGCAGCGGAGCGUGUGGUUUAAUUCGAUGCAACGCGCAGAACCUUACCCAGACUUGACAUGUAGUCGCAAGCCGGGGAAACCCGGCCCUCUUCGGACGGCUACACAGAUGUUGCAUGGCUGUCGUCAGCUCGUGUCGUGAGAUGUUGGGUUAAGUCCCGCAACGAGCGCAACCCUCGUGAGUUGUUGCAAAUCAACUCAGACUGCCGGUACAAGCCGGAGGAAGGUGGGGAUGAUGUCAAGUCCGCAUGGCUCUUACGUCUGGGGCGACACACACGCUACAAUGGCUGGGACAGCGCGCAGCCACGGGGCGACCCGGAGCGAAUCGCCAAACCCAGUCUCAGUUCGGAUGGCAGGCUGCAACCCGCCUGCCUGAAGUCGGAGUUGCUAGUAACCGCGUGUCAGCAUAGCGCGGUGAAUAUGUUCCCGGGCCUUGCACACACCGCCCGU
rnacentral:rRNA from 1 species